UCUAUAAGUUGUUUGGGACUGC
rnacentral:siRNA from 1 species